CACACACACUGACACCAGAAAGAAGCACUUUUGACACAGUCACCAGGCCCUUGCAAGCGUGACCAGUUUCCCCAGUACUUUUCCACCCAGUGAAGCGUGGGCUCAGUUCGGAAUCUGAGUUCCAAGACAAACAUUAGCCGAUGCGAGAUCAUCAUGUGGAGGGCACAGCUAAUUAUCAGACUGAAAGCUGAGUGCAAGGUGGCAGGAAGUCGCAGACUCAUAAGAACGCAUCAAGCUAACCCAGAAAAUUCCAACUACUGCUUGAAGGGUAAGGAAAACAGUGAGGAAAUUGAAGACUUGGAAAAUGGAACUACAGCCUGAGACGAUCACCUCUUGCACCUUCUUACAGCAGUCCAAAGAGGGGAACACCAACACCAGGAUUGGAAUCGCCAACAUCACUGUCUCAUCCCCAGCUACUCAGGGACACUUAAGCAAAGAAGUAAAAACCUCAGUAGUGUGACCCAAAGAUGGAGAUGAGCCUGAAGCUUACAGAACGAGAGCCUAUACUCUUGACAGCUACCUUUGGUUUCGGAUUGACACGCUGACCCUGGGUGCACUCUCAGAGCUCAGUCCAUUUCAGUGUUUGUGGACACCAGAGGGUCAGAGAGUGAAGAGCAAGAUCGCUCUGCCAAAUGACACUUAAGACACCGCCCACCCAGGGCGUCGUCACACCGCUCUUUCACUCUGCUCAGUGGCUGGCUCAGGAAUGGAGGCUACAGCGUAAAGUUUGUGACACCAACACCACAGAAGGCUACGCCCUAUCCUGAGGCCAUCCACUAGCGACUGGAAUGACCACAGCCACAAGACUUUUCUAUUGAAGUUACAGUUAACUGUUCUACCUCCUGGAAAGCUGCGAUAAGUCUUACAGAUUUAAAAAAAAAAUAGAUAAAAAUAAAUAAACAAAUUAAUAAGAAGCCGGGCCUGGAGCACCUUUACACCCAAUAUUCACAAAGCAGAGGAGGCCUGUGCAGGGUAGGGUCUGAAUACACAAUGAGACACUGUCUCAAGAGAAGAGAACGGACACAGGAGCUCGAGGACCAGCUAGGUGACAUGGCAUGAUCGUGGUUUGUCCCCUAAAAACAACAGAAAAUAACAAGUGUGCUGGUUUGGGGCUGGAACCUGGCGUACUCCGUAAAAAAUUAGAACUAGAGCCAAUUACCCUAUCAUCUGGUGAACCAUUUCUGGGAGUAUGUCCAGUUGGAACAAUCAAAAGAGCUAUCCCAAUGGGUCAUGCUGACAGCAGCAUUAUGUCACAGUCAGCACAGGGGACCUGCCCACAAGCCACCAUCAGGCAUGUCAAUAGGAAGCAUGUGCUGUCCACAUGAGGAACAUUACCCUGCCUUUAAAAGGGAAGAAAGAGGCCGAGGACACAGCACCGUGGACAGAGUCCUCGCCUGUCAGCACACAGACCAGGAGCAAAGCCAUGAGAGCCAAUUCUGGGUGCUGAGAGAGCACUCCACGAGAUCAAGAGUCUCGUGACCUCAGUUUCUUCAAACAGGGAACUGUUCUUUGAAUGUGUUUUCACACUCUCCCAGGUGGAGUGGACAGGAGUGAGUUCACUUCAGAGUACACAUCAUUGCUUGCUGUUGUCAUUCAGUUAAAGGUUUAACCUGUCCUUCCCAUGGCUCUAUGGAAAAAACACGUUUUUGCCAAGAGUGGCUAGUCUUUGUGAUUGUAUACAGCUUGAACUCGGGGGACUUUUACUCAUGUGACCCUCAAUCCUCGAGUAUAAACUGUUGGAGGCUCUGAAUAAAGCAGGCAAUCGCAGGAGGCUUUAGCC